ensembl:lncRNA novel transcript, antisense to PPFIA2
GUAUUCCAUUUGCUUUCGGGAAUAUUUGGAUGUUUUAGAACUAACAUUCUGCUUUAAUAAUCCAAACACACUAUAAUUCCAUCAAUUUGAGUCUCUUAAAAUGUUACACUGAAAUGAAUCUCUCUGAAGAUGGACUUAUUGAUUUCUAUAUUCUUCCUCUAGCAUCAUGAAAUUUGACCUCUUCAGCCGUGCAUGGUUAACACUCCAUCUAUCUGAGUAAGUCCUGCCUUGAAGAAUCGUGAGUGCAAACCAGUUUGAGAGAGAAGAGGAAAAAUAAAUGCCCUAAUCCUGGACCUCAUGUAAGAAGUUCAGGAACCACAAGACUCUGCGGAAGAGAGGAGCCAUAGAGGAGCACUGAGCUGCUAGACAUGUGAGUGAAGAAACCAUCCUUGCUUGACACCAGCCCAUCAAAGACUUUGCAUGAUGCUAGUCCCAUCUGCUUUCCAAUUGGAACUGCAUUGAGAGACUUUGGGUGAGAAUUAUCCAAUCAACUCCCUGGUCAGAAAAAAUAGUGAUAAGGUGGUGUUUUAAGCCUCCAUGUUUUGGAGUUUUUGUCAAUAACAGUAAAUAACUGAGAUAUAAAGUGUCUGUUUUGAUGGUGAUGAUGGAGUAGGUGGUAAGAGCUGGAUAAGUGACUUGGAACCAGAUUAAGAAUGGUUUUCAUGGCAUUUAAGAUUUUGGUUUUAGUUUUAAGGGCAAUGCUAUGGCAAAAAGAAAUUAAUUGAUUUAAUACAACUUUUUUUUGCUAGAAAUGGGGAUUUGAUCCAAUUUAUACUAAAUAUCACAAUAUAAAUUAAAAGAGGUGAGCACUAGAAUGAGGAGACUCAGUUGAAGGGUGCUUCAGUAAUUGAAGUAAAAAUGAUAAGUCUGAACUAAAAUGGCAACAGUAGGAAGAAGGGGAUACAAGUGAUGUCAAGAUUUACCUAGGAGAUAAAAUUUGUAGGACUUGAUCAGUUGUAUAGGAGAGAUAUAAUUUUAGGUACUUAAUUAGUAAAAAGUGAUGGCAACUCAAAUUUUCCUAAGCCAAAGUGGGAUAUGUUUUCAGGAUAAUGGUGCUUCUCUUGGAACUCAAAGACUGGGAUGUGUCUGGGUCUCAGGGACAACUGGAACUGGGAACCGAAAUGUCACUUUCCACUUUUUAACUCUGCUCCUACCUAAAUCUUUAUUUUCUUUCUCUGUACCAUGGCUUCUUCCAAUUUUCUUAUUAUAAUGGAGGAACACAUGGCCUCCAAAUUGACCAAGAUUUACAUCUAAUAGUUUUAAGAUCCAACAAAAUCUACUAUCUCUUUCUCAGAUCCAGGAACAAAAUGUUCAAGAAAUCUUCUGAUCAGAUAUUUGAAAAGAAUUGAUUUUAAUUUGCUCAUGUCCUCAAAGCAACAAGGGGAGUUUGAGGUGUAGUGAAUAGUUUCUUAGAAGAACAACGAUUGUAUUCCAAUUAAGGGAACAUAAUUCUUGAUCUUAGAUCAGGUGGACAUUUAUAGUUCUGGGAUUUGAAAUAUAAAUGUUUUCUGAACUAAAAACGUAUACAGUUAUUUCAGCACAAGAACUGAAGGCUGUUCAGAAAUGUAUACCAAAGUUUUUCUUGUUCAGUACCAUGUGAGAUCAUUUCAAACUCUCAGUAACAGAGAUGAGUCAACCUUCUAAUAAGUAUUGGUCUUCUCUUUCUCUAAAGAUAGACAUUUUUGGGGGAAUAGGAUCUCAGAGUACAGUUUGUGAUCAAAUCUCAAAAAAGUUUAUUGCAUUUACAACAGCAUUUUUCAAAGAGAACACCUCUAAAUACGACACACAGUUUUGUGGUCACACGAAUCCUCAAAGUGCUAUAUUUUAUGUCUGCCUUCAAGGUAUUCACUAUAUAGAUGAGAAGAUUAAAAGCUCUAAGAAAUCUGUAAACACACACAUGCUUCUAAAACUAGUAUUUUCUAAUGUAUUUGACAACCUUUUUAAUAGUCUUUCUAAUAUCCCAUAUUAUAUGUUGUAGGAAAUUCAUAUAAAGUAAUAUUGAUUUAGAUAUCUAAGUCCAUGAUUUCAAAAUGGAAAGUUUUUGUCCCAAUUUAAGACAUAUGGUAUGUAAUAUAGCAUAAGAUAUAAUAAUGUGUAUAAAACGUCUUCACUGAUACUCUUAGUCAAAUGACAUUUUAUUGAUAUAACUUUAAUUAAUGAAUGAUGUUGGCACAUUAAUCCUUUUCUGUUUCCCAGUAGAUAUUAUGCUUUAUUAUUCUGCAAUUCUUGAAAUUGAUAAUUUAUAAAUCUUAACAGGCACAAUUUUCAAACAGUGACAGACUUUCAUGAGGAGAAAAGAAAUAUUUAGUCAUAGGUUUGUUUAAAUUAAUAUUUUCACCAUUUGGGAUGACAAAGCACAAAAAAUUACAAUUUCUUUUUAUAGAGGAUAAGAAUAAAAUUAGAGCACAAAUCUGUAAGUCAGUAAAUUAAUAGAGUUGAGAUUUUUAAAACAUCUAGUAUUUUAAUGCAAUGAAGAGAAGAAAACAUACAGAAUCCCACAACUCAUGUCUGCAGAUCAAUAAAAAGGUACAGACUUGAUACAUAUUACUGCUAUGCUUCUUCUGGGUACUUAAAUAUGGCUCUAACAAAAUAUAAUAGGCCACUGUCAAAUUCAGUGUUUUCUGAACCUUGUCGCCCAUCAGGAUAAUUCAGAGUUUUUAAAAAUAGAGACCCUUGGGGUUUCAUCCUCUAAAUUAAGUGUUAGUUGGGAUGGAACUAAGAAAUGUUUAUGUUUAAAAGCAUCUCUGGUGAUUCUGACAUCACUGGUCUGUAACUAGCCAUGAUAUGUGGGAAACACUGGACUGGGUGUUCCUGGAUCAUUUGGCUACUAUUUCCAAAUACUGUAAAUACUGUGUGUUAUAUUAUAUAUUCCAACUUUUCAAUUAUCUUUACUUAUUCAUCAAAAUGAAAUGUUAUUAAUUAGACCAAUACUUUGAAGUGAUGGUAGCCUAAUAAUAUUCCUUGAUAAAUGCACGGUGGUCAUUUUACCAAAAUUAAUCAGAUGAAUACAUAAAAGUUUAUGGCUGUCAAUUGAAUAAUACUUCUUAUCAUGAAUAAUGCAAAUGGGUUUAUUGGGGUCCUAACAUUUUAAACUACAUACAUGUCAAACUUAAUUAACUCUGCUUUCAUAACCACCUACAGAAUGUCUUACCCUUUUUUCAUGCACAUUAGAAGAUGCAAAACUCUGAACUGUUUUCCACAAACUAACAUAACAUAUAUUGAUAGGACUUAAUAGGCUAUCUUACAAGUGAAGGCUAAUUGCUAAAGGUGAGAUUAGGUAAGUUGAAAAGUGGUGCUGGACAUCAAACAAGUGGGAAAAUUUGUGCAAGUUUUUAAUCAAUAUUUUGAUAG